GUUCGAAAUUGACCAAUCAAAACAGGUCUAGCUCACGUGCCUUUUUGCCCUCGUUCAUGUUGUUGAUCGGAGUUUUGAAAAUUCGUGGAAGUAUUUAAAAAGCGCCCUGUACAUAUUAUAUGUCAAAUCAUGGCUUCUCCACCUGUUUCCAUGUUGUCUGCUGUUGGAAGAACAUCUAUGAGGGACUGUGAAUAGAAUCUUUAUCUUCUGCUUAUAUACAACACUUACUCAUGGGCCAGUGGCACAAUUUCUAGCUGUACAAGGAUAUCAUGGUGUUUGAUAAGUUGAUGACAAUGAAACUAAUGACCAUGUUAACAUCAGAGGAAAAGCAAACUG